AGCGAACGCUGGCGGCAGGCUUAACACAUGCAAGUCGAACGCCAUCUUCGGAUGGAGUGGCAGACGGGUGAGUAACGCGUGGGAACGUACCCUUUGGUUCGGAAUAUUCUCGGGAAACUGAGAGCAAUACCGGAUAAGCCCUACGGGGGAAAGAUUUAUCGCCAAAGGAGCGGCCCGCGUCAGAUUAGGUAGUUGGUGGGGUAAAGGCCUACCAAGCCUACGAUCUGUAGCUGGUCUGAGAGGAUGAUCAGCCACACUGGGACUGAGACACGGCCCAGACUCCUACGGGAGGCAGCAGUGGGGAAUCUUGGACAAUGGGCGCAAGCCUGAUCCAGCCAUGCCGCGUGGAUGAUGAAGGCCUUAGGGUUAGUAAAAUCCUUCAACGGGGACGAUAAUGACGGUACCCGUAGAAGAAGCCCCGGCUAACUUCGUG
rnacentral:rRNA from 1 species